CGUUAGAGCAUUGAGAGGACCUUUCCCUAGUACGAGAGGACCGGGAAGGACACACCUCUGGUGUACCAGUUAUCGUGCCUACGGUAAACGCUGGGUAGCCAAGUGUGGAGAGGAUAACUGCGGAAAGCAUAUAAGUAGUAAGCCCACCCCAAGAUGAGUGCUCUCUCCUCCGACUUCCCUAGAGCCUCCGGUAGCACAGCCGAGACAGCGACGGGUUCUCCACCCAUACGGGGAUGGAGCAACAGAAGUAUGGAAAUAGGAUAAGGUAGCGGCGAGACGAGCCGUUUAAAUAGGUGUCAAGUGGAAGUGCAGUGAUGUAUGCACCGUCCUACUCCUAAAACACCUC
rfam:Zea mays cultivar B73 chromosome 6, whole genome shotgun sequence.